GACGAACGCUGGCGGCGUGCUUAACACAUGCAAGUCGAACGGAAAGGCCCUGCUUUUGUGGGGUGCUCGAGUGGCGAACGGGUGAGUAACACGUGAGUAACCUGCCCUUGACUUUGGGAUAACUUCAGGAAACUGGGGCUAAUACCGGAUAGGAGCUCCUGCUGCAUGGUGGGGGUUGGAAAGUUUCGGCGGUUGGGGAUGGACUCGCGGCUUAUCAGCUUGUUGGUGGGGUAGUGGCUUACCAAGGCUUUGACGGGUAGCCGGCCUGAGAGGGUGACCGGCCACAUUGGGACUGAGAUACGGCCCAGACUCCUACGGGAGGCAGCAGUGGGGAAUAUUGCACAAUGGGCGGAAGCCUGAUGCAGCAACGCCGCGUGCGGGAUGACGGUCUUCGGGUUGUAAACCGCUUUCGCCUGUGACGAAGCGUGAGUGACGGUAAUGGGUAAAGAAGCACCGGCUAACUACGUGCCAGCAGCCGCGGUGAUACGUAGGGUGCGAGCGUUGUCCGGAUUUAUUGGGCGUAAAGGGCUCGUAGGUGGUUGAUCGCGUCGGAAGUGUAAUCUUGGGGCUUAACCCUGAGCGUGCUUUCGAUACGGGUUGACUUGAGGAAGGUAGGGGAGAAUGGAAUUCCUGGUGGAGCGGUGGAAUGCGCAGAUAUCAGGAGGAACACCAGUGGCGAAGGCGGUUCUCUGGGCCUUUCCUGACGCUGAGGAGCGAAAGCGUGGGGAGCGAACAGGCUUAGAUACCCUGGUAGUCCACGCUGUAAACGGUGGGUACUAGGUGUGGGGUCCAUUCCACGGGUUCCGUGCCGUAGCUAACGCUUUAAGUACCCCGCCUGGGGAGUACGGCCGCAAGGCUAAAACUCAAAGGAAUUGACGGGGCCCCGCACAAGCGGCGGAGCAUGCGGAUUAAUUCGAUGCAACGCGUAGAACCUUACCUGGGUUUGACAUGGAUCGGGAGUGCUCAGAGAUGGGUGUGCCUCUUUUGGGGUCGGUUCACAGGUGGUGCAUGCCUGUCGUCAGCUCGUGUCGUGAGAUGUUGGGUUAAGUCCCGCAACGAGCGCAACCCUUGUUCACUGUUGCCAGCACGUUAUGGUGGGGACUCAGUGGAGACCGCCGGGGUCAACUCGGAGGAAGGUGGGGAUGACGUCAAGUCAUCAUGCCCCUUAUGUCCAGGGCUUCACGCAUGCUACAAUGGCUGGUACAGAGAGUGGCGAGCCUGUGAGGGUGAGCGAAUCUCGGAAAGCCGGUCUCAGUUCGGAUUGGGGUCUGCAACUCGACCUCAUGAAGUCGGAGUCGCUAGUAAUCGCAGAUCAGCAACGCUGCGGUGAAUACGUUCCCGGGGCU
rnacentral:rRNA from 1 species